UAGUGAUUUAUGCUUAAUCUUAUUUUAAGAACGGGGGACCCAAUAUUUACAGCGGAGUUUCCGCUUGGGGUGAAUCCUACUAUGGAAGGGCUUACUGUUUCCGCAGUCCUAACCCGAAAGCUAACCUCGUCAGCGUUUAAGGAAACAUAA
rnacentral:sRNA from 2 species